UUCAGCAUGCCCAAAACAUUGGUGUGCUAUCAAUACCAUUGUAGCUGUAAGUACAAAGAACAGCUCUGUAAUGGUUGCUACCAGGAAAGUUGACUCCAUUCCAACCAGACUCACCCACCAUGCUCGUGUGUGAGUCCUGUGUCACCCAGCUGCAAUCAGAAUCCCAUCUCCCUCCACUUCACCCCUGCAAUGUCAGGAAAAGCCCUGUCUUCUCCCAUUCCAGGCUGAUGCUCGCACUAAAUUUUCCCUUUCCCAUAACAGAGGAGGAGGCACUGAAACCUCCUUCCUUGGCUCCACACAGCUGACAAUUGGCACUGCUGGCCACUCUCCACUGUGCUUUGCUCCUCAAGCCCAAGGAACAGGGCAGCAACCCACUGGACCUCCCUGUCCCAGCCAUGAAGGCUUUCAUCCUCUGAAAGACAAGCAUUCAAAUAGGUGGUGACAUUUGUCUUUCCAAGAGGCAGAUAAUGACACAGCUUGCAAAGAGUACCAUCUCUUCUAGAAAGCACAGGCUUUAUACAAGGAGUGAAAACAUCUGCAACCUUCUCAGUCUUUCUUCUGCAAAUCAAAUAAUUCUCCAGUACUUCCUGCAACCCAGAAGAAGUCCCUGUACAUUUUUAAGUUCCUUCAGAGAGCUCCAUUUGGUAAAGCUGCACAGGUCCUGAAGUUUCUCACUGAGAACAAGGUCUUCACUAUCAUCAGAAAUUAGGUGAGAACAGAGAUGAAAAAUACAUAGUGGUGGAAUCUAGUUGACUUGCUGGAGUCAAAUAGGAGAGAGAUUUGGUUUGUGCAAGAAUGUUAUACCACAACACCUCAGGGCUUCAUAGUCCUCCAUGUUGUAAAUCUUCCUGAAUUGUAGAAGAGAAGAACUGGGGUGGAGAGUGGGGGCUACAGACUGGAAGCAGCUGGGACACAACACGAAGUGUCAUAGUUUCUUGACCUGCAGAAGACAUGGUCAACACAGCAGCUGUUCCAGAGUAUGGCUCAUUCAAUCAAAUUGAAGAGGAUUUCCUAAAUUUUAUCUUCCUGCAGGACUGUCUGAAUUGAUUCUGGAUCUUGUUCCAGUAUCAAGCUUCUGACAUUUGCAUCUUAUCUACAGGCAGUGAGGUACAGUGAGGCUUGUAGAAUGGAAGAUAUUAUCAAGUACAUGCUACGUUGCAUUUGGGGGACUGUACCUCAUAGCUGAGCUAGAGUUCUUAUGCCAUCUUGGGCACCAUCAUCCUGACCUUCCAGCAAGAAUCCUUGCACAUAUCUAUGGUCAGAGGAGUUUUAGGAGCUUGUUCUUCCUUAGACUCAGUCAAGGUCUUUCAGCUGUGUCACGCACAGGGAAUGAAAUGCUGCUUCUGCUGGUCCAAUUUAAGCUGAUGCUAGGUUUUCACCCAAGUUUCAAACAUGGGAAUCAUAGUGGUGAUCCCGAACCUGGCAAGAUUGUGGCUCAGGCACUCACCAGUCCUUGCUCUGCCUCCCUGCUUGCCCAUGCUUUAGAUCAGUGGAAAACUCCAGUGAGGGUUUGUGCACCUCUCGGUCCCGUGAUGUUAUGAAGUACACAGUACAAAUGACUGAGGUUCUCUGGUCCCUGUUCAGUAAGGACUGAUUUCAAAGACAGGCUUAUCUUCAGGAAUCUUUUUAAUAUAUGUCACAAAAAAAUCAAAUGGCCCGAAUCAUAUCUGUGGGUGACCUCAUCCCUUCUUUCACCUCCUCCCACUGCCCACUGGGAUGAUCUCUGUCUGUCUGUCUAUUGCUCUAUAUGUACCCAUGGCCCUUCUCACUGUGGAUAGCUGCUGUCAGACUUACCUAGAGCCUGAAGUGAGGUUAUUUUGCACUAAUGCAUUGUGAUGAUUUGGCCAGGCAGAUGUUUAUGGGAUGAACAUAAAAUUCUGCAGGAAUUUUAAUUGAUUCAAGCACCUACACCUUCCCAACACAGUUAAUUCAGAACCACAACAGUUGCAUUUUCUUUUCUGUCUCCUGGACAUGAUGACAUGAGAGUCAGACAUUAUAGCAAACACCGAGUGAGUCUGAUGUCUUUCUUGGCAUGACAAAGGUGGAACACCAACUGAGCUCUCCUCCCCGUGUCCCCACAGCCCACCUCUCAAUGUCUCUGAUUUCAGCAAGGUUCUUUCAUCUUUGUGAAAAAAUAUGCCUGAUGCAGUGAUUCUGGACUCUCUUUUGAUAUAGUAUUUACCACAUAAACAGAAAUUGACCUUUAGAGACCCUGGAAGAUUUGUAUUCUUAUUGAUACACAAGUGAAAGCUCUUGCUUGGGAGUAUUUGCUCCUCACUGUCUGGAUAUAUUGUGUGUUCUGUCACAAAACCCUCUCAGAAACUUGCAUGCUCUCAGUUCUGCUGCAUGCAGCCUCAUGAUCUGUUAUCUGCUAUCUGUUACUGUAGUACCUUGCCCUGCACUAUCAGUCAUUCUAGGCUGCUGCAAAUCAAACACCAGCAAACAAACAUCUUCUAACAAACAUCGCAGGGGUGUGAGCUGUUCAAUCUGUUUCAGCAUCAGCCAUUAUGACAUUAUGUUACUCAUAAGCCAUGCUGAUAGUCACAAAUGAUAUUUUGCUUUAGGUACUAAUCAAGGAGUUCUGGUCCUCCAGUGUGUCCCUUUCAUCUAGUUAGCAGAGUGGCUUUGAAAGGGCUCAGUAGAAGAGCAGACAUGCUGACAAUGAUUCCAGCUGCCUCAGGCAAAAAGGCAUUUGUUUGGCCAAACUCAUCCAGAAAAUCUACUAUUGUGAGAUAUGGCAGGGUUUUACUGAUCAGGAGGGAAAGGCAUCUUAGUCAAAGAGGAAUUAAAAUAUUCAUUAUAUUUCAAGCAUGUUAUCCAGUGAGGGAGUCUCCUUUUAGAGCCUUGUCCUGCCUCCUUUAAUCAAACUAUUUGCAGCAUCUUGCUCUGGAGAUGGUUUUACAGAAGAAAAAGGACUGUCCACACAGAGAACCAUUAAGAAGUUGGUUCAGCACACAGCACACUUAACCUAUUGCACACUUCACUGCUUAACUGUCUCCACGUGUUGACUGAAUACAGCUGAGGGGUCUUUCUGAAAGUCAUAGCAGACAACACAUUAUACCACCCCACGGAACUAUGUACAUACCUCAUGGCUACAACUGUACAACACUUACAUAACCUUAAACAGCCAGUCUGUGGCCAUGUGGAAGAUUUCCCCUCAUCAAACCAAAAGGGUUUUUUGUCAUGAAGGAGAAAUUCAAAUGCAAAUGGUUCAGCAAUGGCAAUUUGUGACAGAGGAAUUACUUGGUGUAGUUCACAGAAGACUUAACUGCAGAACUGGUUUAACUGACUGGAAGCAGGAAUGCAAAAAACAGAUCAGCCAUCAUAUGAAGGAGAGAAAAUUCCCUUGCUGAUGAGGAAAUAAAUGUGUUAUCUUGCAGGAUGUGUAAUUCAAGUGCUCAAGGGCCAAUUUGGUAGACAGAGCUGAUGCUGUGGAAUUAACUCAAUGCUGGGCUGAGGUGCUCCAUGCCAACAAUCAUCUGGAAACUUCAGCUUGGGAUAGGAGAAAUUACUUCAGCGUGCAUUUGAUGGGAAACUACAGACAAAGCCUGUGAAACAUUAAACAAGGCAGCAAUAAAUUCUGUUACAUAAACAAAAACAGCAGUGCUAAUAUUCUGUCAAUGCUCUAGCUCAAGGUGUAUUGCUCUAGCCUGUCCUCUUCUCACUCUGUAACUAAACUCCAGUCACUAUGAUUGAUAAGCCCUCUGUUCUGAAUCAAAUGGCUGUUUGUUCCUCCCUCCUUUCCUGUACCUUUGAAUUCUUUACAGAAGGUACAAUGAUAUUUAAAGGCAUUUUGUGGAAAAAUAAAAAAAAAGAAAUCUGGCCACAGUUCAAGACUGCAUACUGAUUAUUUCUUUAAACCAGGCUCUUAAGCUCUGUUAGUGAAUAAGCAAAUAUAAACCUAGCUUUCAGAGUAUCCCUUGCACAUCUUCCAUUUAUUAUACAUACAUUUCUUAUACACUAUGAUGCAACAUCUGGAAGGAGACAAUAUUCUCACUGGCAGGUAAUCAUUUAACAAUUGAUGUGUUAAAUGUGAUAUAUUUUUGACACGGAGAGAAAAGCAAUAUGCAAAUAUACCAGCACAAGAAUAUAAAGGCUAAUAAAACAGAACAUAAUAUUACAAUGAUCAUAGGAUACAAGAUGUAAUAUGUCAGAUACAGAUGGUGUGAAUCCCAUAAAAAUAUCACACCAAUGAUGUCCAGCAGUUUGUUCAAUUUCUCUUAUGAUUCAAAAAAAUUCCAGAAGGUAUUAUGGUUGAUUGCAACAGUUACUUGUUUUUGUUACAUAAUAGCUUUUUCAUAUCUAUUUUUUCAGGUUUCCAGUUCUUCAAUUUGAGAGUAUGUUGUACUCCAUACUGGUCCUAAGUUGAAGUCCAGAAUUCUGCCAGCAUUGAUGUGAGCUUUUAGAUAUUUGGACCUCACUGCCCAAGUUACUGCAGAAUUUACCAGCUUUUGUGGGUUUACAAUAUAGAAUACCAGACGUUUCAAUGCAAGGGUUAGCAUUGUCUGAUACACAAAGCUUCCUAUCUUUUCAGAUAUUGUCAACAUUGUCUCCAGUUAUAACACUUCCUCAUCAGUGUAUUAAUAAAGUUCCAGGGAAUAUUUAGUAUCCUUUCUAAAUAGUUACUUUCUGUAGUAUGCAAGUUGAAUGACUACUUUCACUUAUUCAUUUAUCAAUUCCUAGUGGAGGAGAAAGAAAUCUUGGAUUGUCUCCAAGCCUCAGUAAUGACUAGUUUCAUUCUCAGUUUCCCUUAUUCCUUUCCCUUGAAUGUCCAGCAAAGUGACUCUGCGUUUUGAGUGAUAGGUAUUGAUUCCUGAAUCAGGAAAUCUCCUGAUUUCCUGAAUACCACAUCAAGAUAUUUAAAGUAUACUGCUGGUGUUGUUCAGCAUCUUAUUCAUUAAGAAUAUUAACUAUAUCACUUUUCCUGGGAACAGCUCCAGCGAGUAGUUCAGGGACUGUUCAAGGCUCUGUAAUCUACUGGCAGUCACCAUGUGCCAUGAGACUUUUUACCAGCAGCUACACAGGGAGAAUGAGACCUGGUAACAAUUCCCUAUUCCCCACUCCUCUAGUUCUUUAAUCAAUAAUGAUAAUAUUAAUAUAUCAGUUCUUCUAUCAAUAUAAAUUCAAAAUAAUAUAAAUUCAAUGAUCUAAUUAUUUAAUCAGUCUACAGGAUGGAUAGCACUAGAAGGUAACUUGUAAUGUGAAAUGUCAACUAGAUUGCUAUGGGAUAAAGGAGCAGCUGUUUGCAACAGAUUGACAGCCAGGGAUGUAUUUGCAUAAAGCAAACUGUGAGUCAGAGGGUGUGGUGCACCUUUUUUCUCUUUCCCCAUGAGACCACUCAUGACUGUCCCUUGAAUACACACUAGCAGAAAUCUGAGCAGGAGAUGAGUGAACACAGUCCAGGAAUCUGUCUAAAUGUUAGCUUUUAAAUCUGUAAUAGCAGGUCUACUUCUCUUCAGUUUGAUGUUCCUUUCAGUCUGGCUACACUCUUCUACCAUUACUUGGCAGCUAUGACAAUCAUAUAACUUCACAUUGGGUUUAAAUAUUAGCCACCAUGUUUAAUAGUCAUUUGAAAAACUGGUCUGUAUUUCUGCUACUGCUUGUUUAGAAACAGAGGCAUGCAUGAAUGGUGUUUUACAGUGUGGGAUAAAGCUGCAUUACCUACUGCGAACAAUAUCACAUUCUCCACUGUAACACAGAAGAGCUUCACAACAUCCCUCUUUGAUGGCAUUUUAAUAUAUCUGAAGACUAGAGUAUAAGAAAUUUAGAAUGACUGAAGCUGUUUUACCUGGGUUUCUUGUGGAAAACCUGUACCUUUACAGGGCAAAAAUCUUGUCAUCUACAUAGAGCCUGA